rnacentral:hammerhead_ribozyme from 21 species
AAGCAGUCAGGGUAGCGGUAGCCCCCUGACGAGAGCUUUCGCAGGCUCGAAACUGCUG